rnacentral:tRNA from 1 species
AGUAAGAUCAGCUAAUUAAGCUUUCGGGCCCAUACCCCGGACAUGUUGGUUAAAGUCCCUCUUUUACUA